CGGGUGAGUAAUGUCUGGGAAACUGCCUGAUGGAGGGGGAUAACUGCUGGAAACGGUAGCUAAUACCGCAUAACGUCGCAAGACCAAAGAGGGGGACCUUCGGGCCUCUUGCCAUCGGAUGUGCCCAGAUGGGAUUAGCUAGUAGGUGGGGUAACGGCUCACCUAGGCGACGAUCCCUAGCUGGUCUGAGAGGAUGCCAGCCACACUGGAACUGAGACACGGCCAG
rnacentral:rRNA from 1 species